UGGUAGACAGGCAUGAAACACAAGCU
rnacentral:piRNA from 1 species